CACGUAGGGCGCAAGCGUUGUCCGGAAUUAUUGGGCGUAAAGAGCUCGUAGGCGGUCUGUUGCGUCCGCUGUGAAAACUCGGGGCUUAACCCCGAGCCUGCAGUGGAUACGGGCAGACUAGAGGUAGGUAGGGGAGAAUGGAAUUCCCGGUGUAGCGGUGAAAUGCGCAGAUAUCGGGAGGAACACCAGUGGCGAAGGCGACUACCUGGCCUGUUCUUGACGCUGAGGCGCGAAAGCUAAGGGAGCAAACGGG
rnacentral:rRNA from 1 species